rnacentral:siRNA from 1 species
AGAGAUGUCAAAAACAGGGCUUCU